UUUAAAGUGUAAUGUAAGUCGCUUUGGAUAAAAGCGUCUGCUAAAUGUAAUGUA
rfam:Gasterosteus aculeatus cont1.013097, whole genome shotgun sequence.